rnacentral:rRNA from 1 species
UGGGGAAUAUUGCACAAUGGGGGAAACCCUGAUGCAGCGACGCCGCGUGAGUGAAGAAGUACUUCGGUAUGUAAAGCUCUAUCAGCAGGGAAGAAAGUGACGGUACCUGAGUAAGAAGCCCCGGCUAACUACGUGCCAGCAGCCGCGGUAAUACGUAGGGGGCAAGCGUUAUCCGGAUUUACUGGGUGUAAAGGGAGUGUAGACGGCGAUGCAAGUCUGGAGUGAAAGCCCGGUGCUCAACACCGGGACUGCUUUGGAAACUGUAAAGCUAGAGUGCCGGAGAGGUAAGCGGAAUUCCUAGUGUAGCGGUGAAAUGCGUAGAUAUUAGGAAGAACACCAGUGGCGAAGGCGGCUUACUGGACGGUAACUGACGUUGAGGCUCGAAAGCGUGGGGAGCAAACA